rnacentral:lncRNA from 1 species
AUUCUUCAAGGUCUACUUUGAUGGGAGUUUUUAUAUUUCAAAAGGUUUGAUCCAUCCUGCAAAUCACUCCAGAUCAUAACAGGCUUCUGGAUCAUUUUCCCCACCUCCAUGAACUCCACACCCGGAAGGUCUGCCUGGAAAUGCUAGCCAUGUGCGAUGUGUGCGCAUGGACUCGGAGCCAAGUCGGUCUGAAGCAGGAAGCGCAGGACCUCAGAUGGUGGCAGAGAGGAGUGUGCACCUUACUGGGGCCACCAGCCAGGGCCCUGGGAGCCAGAUUAGACCCUGAUGCUGGGUUGGGGCCCAUCUCCAGCUGCCUGUGCAUCACCAUGCAGCCCCUCAGAG